rnacentral:misc_RNA from 1 species
GAUGAAGAACGCAGUGAAAUGCGAUAAGUAAUGUGAAUUGCAGAAUUCAGUGAAUCAUCGAAUCUUUGAACGCACCUUGCGCCCUUUGGCCAUUCCGAAGGGCAUGCCUGUUUGAGUAUCAUGAACACCUCAACUCUUCAUGGUUUUCCAUGAUGAGCUUGGACUUUGGGGGUCUUGCUGGCCUGUGGGUCGGCUCCUCUCAAAUGAAUCAGCUUGCCGGUUUUUGGUGGGCAUCACAGGUGUGAUAACUAUCUACGCUUGUGGUUUUCCACCAGGGUAACCUUCAGCAGUGGAGGUUCACUGGAGCUUACAAAUGUCUCUCCUCCGUGAGGACAGCCCUUUGAAUGUUUGAUCUCAAAUCAGGUAGGACUACCCGCUGAACUUAAGCAUAUCAAUAAGCGGAGGA